UCUCGCAUACGAUGUGCAGAAAGAAUCACUCUACAAAGUUACAAAGAUAAGUGUCUAAUGCUAAUGUAAGAAGCACAACCAAACUAGACAACAAUAAAAGAACUAGUCUCUAACACCCAUACAUAGAAGAGAGCACCAACUAGUGUAACUAAAGGCGGAAGUAAGCUAAUUAGCUUUCAACCAUAAAAAUGACAUUAACUUAACAUUGUCCAACAAAUAAUCUUUAGAGACAAAGCCAUAGUUACACGGUCCAUAAAAUUAAUAAAAGAAGAAUAAAUAUUUAAUACAAUUUUUUUGGAAGAAAAUAUUUAAUACAAUUAUUGAGUGUCAACGCAAUAGCUGGCUGAUAACCACUAAAUAUUUUAUUAUAAGGUUUAUUGCAUAGAUGUUUUGAUAUUGUAAUUACUCAUUAUCCCAUCAUGGUGUAGGUGUUACUGGUCUCUUGGGAUACCAGGAUAUCUAGGUUCCUUUGGGUUUUUUCCAACAUUGAUACAUUGGUUGUUAAUGCAAUCAAAAAUAAAGUACUGACUUUUGAAACAAUCUUCAACAGUCUCACACCAAACGUACGCUGUAAUGAAAAAAGAAAAGAAAAAUAAUUUUACUAAAAUGAGGUAAAAGAAUUUGGACGAUCUACUAACUAAUGAAGAAAACUUCAAAAGAAUGAAAAAAUGGCUUACCAUCAACAUUCUUUGCAACAAGAAAUAAGGAAAAAAAUAAAACCAUUGUAUACAUAACUUUUAGAGUUUUAGCCAUAUUUCUCUCUCUUU
rnacentral:lncRNA from 1 species